ACCGGCGCACGGGUGAGUAACGCGUAUCCAACCUGCCCAUCACUUGGGGAUAACCUUGCGAAAGUAAGACUAAUACCCAAUGAUAUCUCUAGAAGACAUCUGAAGGAGAUUAAAGAUUUAUCGGUGAUGGAUGGGGAUGCGUCUGAUUAGCUUGUUGGCGGGGUAACGGCCCACCAAGGCGACGAUCAGUAGGGGUUCUGAGAGGAAGGUCCCCCACAUUGGAACUGAGACACGGUCCAAACUCCUACGGGAGGCAGCAGUGAGGAAUAUUGGUCAAUGGGCGAGAGCCUGAACCAGCCAAGUAGCGUGCAGGAUGACGGCCCUAUGGGUUGUAAACUGCUUUUAUAAGGGAAUAAAGUGAGUCUCGUGAGACUUUUUGCAUGUACCUUAUGAAUAAGGACCGGCUAAUUCCGUGCCAGCAGCCGCGGUAAUACGGAAGGUCCGGGCGUUAUCCGGAUUUAUUGGGUUUAAAGGGAGCGUAGGCCGGAGAUUAAGCGUGUUGUGAAAUGUAGAUGCUCAACAUCUGCACUGCAGCGCGAACUGGUUUCCUUGAGUACGCACAAAGUGGGCGGAAUUCGUGGUGUAGCGGUGAAAUGCUUAGAUAUCACGAAGAACUCCGAUUGCGAAGGCAGCUCACUGGAGCGCAACUGACGCUGAAGCUCGAAAGUGCG
rnacentral:rRNA from 1 species